rnacentral:rRNA from 1 species
CCUACGGGGGGCUGCAGUAGGGAAUAUUGGACAAUGGGCGAAAGCCUGAUCCAGCCAUGCCGCGUGAUAGAUGAAGGCCCUCUGGGUUGUAAAUAUCUUUUAUCUGGGAAGAAACAAUCUUAUUCUUAAGAUCUUGACGGUACCAGAGGAAUAAGCACCGGCUAACUCCGUGCCAGCAGCCGCGGUAAUACGGAGGGUGCAGGCGUUAUCCGGAUUAACUGGGGUUAAGGGGUGCGUAGGAGUGCGUGGUGAAAGCUCCGGGCUUAACUUGGAAACUGCAAUUGAUACUGCCAGUCUUGAAUGUCGUAGAGGUAAGCGGAAUGUUGCAUGUAGCGGUGAAAUGCUUAGAUAUGUGACAGAACACCAAUUGCGAAGGCAGCUUACUAUGCGAUGAUUGACGCUGAGGCACGAAAGCGUGGGGAGCAAACAGGAUUAGAUACCCCAGUAGUC